CGGGCUUGGAGGAGGUGGCCCCAGCUAAGGAAACAGCAGGUGUCUGGUGGCCUGACAUGCACCGCCUGGCUGACCGCAUCCACCUGGAGGAGCUGGCCCACAUGGGCAUCCUGAGCGGCAGCGUGGACGCCAUGGUCCAGGCUCACCUGGGGGCCGUGUUUAUGCCUCACGGGCUCGGCCACUUCCUGGGCAUUGACGUGCACGACGUGGGAGGCUACCCAGAGGGCGUGGAGCGCAUCGACGAGCCCGGCCUGCGGAGCCUGCGCACUGCACGGCACCUGCAGCCAGGCAUGGUGCUCACCGUGGAGCCGGGCAUCUACUUCAUCGACCACCUCCUGGACGAGGCCCUGGCGGACCCGGCCCGCGCCUGCUUCUUUAACCGCGAGGUCCUGCAGCGCUUUCGCGGUUUUGGCGGGGUCCGCAUCGAGGAGGACGUCGUGGUGACUGACAGCGGCAUGGAGCUGCUGACCUGCGUGCCCCGCACUGUGGAAGAGAUUGAAGCGUGCAUGGCAGGCUGUGACAAGGCCUUUACCCCCUUCUCUGGCCCCAAGUAGAGCCAGCCAGAAAUCCCAGCACACCUGGGGGCCCGGCCUUGCAACCUCUUUUCACGAUGGGCAGCCUGCUGGUCAGCACUCCAGUAGCGAGAGACGGCACCCAGAAUCAGAUCCCAGCGUCGGCAUUUGAUCAGACCAAACAGCGCUGUUUCCUGGGGAGGAAACUUUUUUAAUUACCCUUUUGCAGGCUCCCACCUUUAAUCUGUUUUAUACCUUGCUUAUUAAAUGAGCGACUUAAAAUGAUUGAAAAUAAUGCUGUUCUUUAGUAGCAACUAAAAUGUGUCUUGCUGUCAUUUAUAGUCCUUUUCCCAGGAAAGAAGCAUUUCUGAUACUUUCUGUCAAAAAUCAAUAUGCAGAAUGGCAUUUGCAAUAAAAGAGUUCCUAAAA
rnacentral:sRNA from 1 species